GAAGAAAGCUGGCGGCGUGCCUAAUACAUGCGAGUCGAGCGAAGAUUUUCUGCUUCUUGCACUAUAAAAACUUAGCGGCGAACGUGUGAGUAAGACGUAAAGAACCUCCCUCAUAGACUGGGACAACUAUUUGAAACUAUUGCUAAUACCGGACAACAGUUUUUCUCGCGUGUGAGAUAUUUAAUAGUUUGUUAUGUUAACACUAUGAGUUUGCUUUGCGGUGCAUUAUCUAGUUGGUGGGGUAAAGGCCCACCAAGGCGACGAUGCGUAGCCGACCUGCGAGGGUGAUCGGCCACACUGGGACUGAGCCGCGGCCCAGACUCCUACGGAAGGCAGAAGUAGGGAAUCGUGCGCAAUGGGCGAAAGCCUGACGGAGCAGCGCCGCGUGAGUGAAGAAGGAUUUCGUUGCGUAAAGCUCUGUUGUUAGGGAAGACUGGAUAUGUAGUAACUAAACAUCUAAGAGACGGUACCUAAACAGAAAGCAACGGCUAACUACGUG
rnacentral:rRNA from 1 species